rnacentral:rRNA from 1 species
GCGAACGCUGGCGGCAGGCCUAACCCAUGCAAGUCGCACGAACCUUUCGGGGUUAGUGGCGGACGGGUGAGUAACACGUGGGAACGUGCCUUUAGGUUCGGAAUAACUCAGGGAAACUUGUGCUAAUACCGAAUGUGCCCUUCGGGGGAAAGAUUUAUCGCCUUUAGAGCGGCCCGCGUCUGAUUAGCUAGUUGGUUGAGGUAAUGGCUCACCAAGGCGACGAUCAGUAGCUGGUCUGAGAGGAUGAUCAGCCACAUUGGGACUGAGACACGGCCCAAACUCCUACGGGAGGCAGCAGUGGGGAAUCUUGCGCAAUGGGCGAAAGCCUGACGCAGCCAUGCCGCGUGAAUGAUGAAGGUCUUAGGAUUGUAAAAUUCUUUCACCGGGGACGAUAAUGACGGUACCCGGAGAAGAAGCCCCGGCUAACUUCGUG